GGGCAACUCUGGUUCAGUGGCGGACGGGUGCGUAACACGUGAGGAACAUGACCUUCGGCGGGGGAUAGCCGGCCCAACGGCCGGGUAAUACCGCGUACGACCUUUCGGGGACAUCCCUGGAUGGUGAAAGCAGCAAUGCGCCGAUGGAGUGCCUCGCGGCCUAUCAGCUAGUUGGUGAGGUAACGGCUCACCAAGGCAACGACGGGUAGCUGGUCUGAGAGGAUGGCCAGCCACAUUGGGACUGAGACACGGCCCAGACUCCUACGGGAGGCAGCAGUGGGGAAUAUUGCGCAAUGGACGAAAGUCUGACGCAGCGACGCCGCGUGUGGGAUGACGGUCUUCGGAUUGUAAACCACUGUCGGGAGGGACGAAUACGCCGCAAGGCGGGUGACGGUACCUCCAAAGGAAGCACCGGCUAACUCCGUGCCAGCAGCCGCGGUAAUACGGAGGGUGCGAGCGUUGUCCGGAAUCACUGGGCGUAAAGGGCGCGUAGGCGGCCUGAUAAGUAGGGGGUGAAAUCUUGCGGCUUAACCGCAAGGCUGCCUUCUAAACUGUCGGGCUCGAGCACAGUAGAGGCAGGUGGAAUUCCCGGUGUAGCGGUGGAAU
rnacentral:rRNA from 1 species